AUGACGAUUAUCAGCUGGAACUGCUGGGGCCUUGGGCAACCCCGGACAGUUCAGGAGCGUGUGUGCUUGGUGCGCACAUAUCGCCCGUCUUUGGUGUUUGUCUCGGAAACUAGGAAAAGCGAGGACUAUGUUAAUAAGUUGCAUAGGAGACUAGGUCUCAAGCAUUGCAUCUCCCAUGUGGGUAAAGGCAAAGGUGCAGGUAUCGCUCUCUUC
rnacentral:rRNA from 1 species